rnacentral:rRNA from 1 species
UGUUUUUCGGCGUAAUAUGAAAAAUAUAAUCUGCCCUAUGACUAAGGUUAAAUGGCCGCAGUAUUUUGACUGUGCGAAGGUAGCAUAAUAAAUUGUCUCUUAAUUAGAGUCUGGAAUGAAAGAUUUUAUGAAGGAAUAACUGUUUUUAUAAUAUUAAUGAAUUUAGAGGCCAGGUGAAGAUUCUUGGAGGAUGGUAAAAGACGAGAAGACCCCAUUAAGUUUUAUAUUAAGUUAUAUUUUACUAAAUUUUGGUUAUUGCAAUUUAUUUAGUUGGGGCAACUGUAGGAUUUAUACAAUUCUUAUUAAAUAUUGAUGUUUAUGAGCGGAUUUAUUAUAUGAUCCAUAAAAAUGAUUCAUAGAACGAAUUACUGUGGGGAUAACAGCGUAAUUCUUUUUUAGAGUUCUUAUCGAUGGAAGAGUUUGCGACCUCGAUGUUGGAUUAGGAUUUCUAUUUGGCGCAGUUGUUAAUUUAGAUAGUCUGUUCGACUAUUAAAUUCUUACA